rnacentral:misc_RNA from 1 species
GAUGAAGACGCAGCGAAAUGCGAUAAGUAAUGUGAAUUGCAGAAUUCAGUGAAUCAUCGAAUCUUUGAACGCACCUUGCGCUCCUUGGUAUUCCAAAGAGCAUGCCUGUUUGAGUAUCAUUAAAUUAUCAACUGUACCAAUUUGGUUGCAGAUUGGAUGUGGGAGAUUUUGCAGGCUUUUGAUUUCUCUUUGAGAAAACGGUCAGCUCUCCUGAAAUAUAUUAGCAGUGCCUUUGUUGGUUCAUUAGGUGUGAUAAUUUAUCUACAUCUUCACAUGGUACCUUCAUUUGUGUAAAGGUCAUAUUGCUUCUAAUUGUCUUUGGACAUAAAAAAAAAAAACAUAUAAUUGUAUGGAAAACUUGAUCUCAAAUCAGGCAGGACUACCCGCUGAACUUAAGCAUAUCAAUAAGCGGAGGA